rnacentral:misc_RNA from 1 species
AUCCUGGACAGUUAUUGUUUUGUCCGAUUGUUUACAGUAUGGUUGUGCGUGGAUUUGUGUAUGGUUAUUAGUGCAUUUAACUUUUGAAGUGAUUGUAUAAACUUUUUGUAUGUAUGCCUCCGAACGUUAACGUCCGUUUGAAAGCAGGAUGGCAGAUACAGAUCGUUACGGGAAAGUGAGAAUGUCAGUGGACCAGUCACAAAGUUUAGAUUCAAUCGCCACCAAACGUAGAAGUAGUUCCCGUUCGAUAAAACGACGUCGGUUUGAUGAUGAGCUUGUGGAAUCCAGUCUUGGGACUGCGGGCUCCUUGGGAAAAGUGGCAAGAGCUCGAGCCCAGUCAAUAUCCAGCCCCGGAUUAGACUACUGCAUGAAGGAUGUAGAAAUAGGCACCCCUGGCAUACAGAAGCAACUGAAAGAGUUUAAAACAAAGGCAAUGAGUUCUGCUGCGACUACUCCAGCCAGUACUGUCACUCCUUCCUCGACUGUGUCCGUGCCACCCGAAAAUCGGCAGAGGCGUACGGGUGGUUCAGCCAGUGGACGCACUGGGGGCUCAGCCGGUAGUCGUCGCAAUAAGAGGCCGCGUCAUUCCCAUUCAGUCGCCACGAAGGAUCUCGGUCGUUGGAAGCCUACUGAUGAUCUUGCUCUGAUUACCAAUGUUCAGCUGACCAGUGAUUUGCGUACAGUGCACCGAGCUACUAAGUUCUCGUGCCGCUUCACUGUGCAAGAAAUCCAGCAGCGCUGGUACGCCUUACUGUAUGACCAAGCUGUCUCACGUGUCGCCGUGGCUGCCAUGCGAAAUCUCCACCCUGAAAUCGUAGCAGCUGUUCGCAGCCGUGCUCUUUUUAGCAAGGCAGAAGAGCAGUUGCUGCAGACCAUUAAAUCGGCUUCAAAUCCCACAAUUGACGUAUUUCAAGAAUUGCUGGAGCAAAAUGCCCAAGUAUUUUAUCCAGCACGGACAGCAAAGUCACUUUACAACCACUGGAACUUGAUGAAGCAGUAUCAUCUCCUACCUGAUCAGACUGUUCAAGCUGUUCCAAGGGGUGAGCAUGUGUUAAACUUCUCAGAUGCUGAAGAUCUGAUACAAGAUGGUGAUCUAGGAGAUCCUCCAGAUGAGGCAGUCGAAUUUGAAUUAGCGAGGUCUGAUAGGUUGAUUAAGAAAGAAAUCCGUUCUCUGGAGAAUGAGAUGGGAAACUGGCAAGUUCUUGUAGACUCAGUAACUGGUAUUAGUCCUCCCGAUUUUGACAAUCAAACCUUAGCUGUUUUGCGUGGACGGCUUGUAAGAUAUCUAAUGAGAUCUCGAGAAAUUACAAUGGGUCGAACAACGAAAGACAGCAGUGUGGACGUAGAUCUUUCGUUGGAGGGCCCAGCGUGGAAGAUAUCUCGACGACAGGGUACCAUUAGGUUACGGAACAAUGGAGAUUUUUUCCUGUCUAGUGAGGGGAAAAGGCCGAUAUACGUCGAUGGCAGACCGAUACUUGCAGGCAAUAAGUAUCGACUGAACAACAAUUCUGUUAUUGAAAUUGCGGGUCUUCGCUUCAUCUUCCUUGUUAACCAGGAGCUGAUCAACGUGAUUCGCCAUGAGGCAGCUAGACUCAAUCUCCAGCCAUAAUAUAUCCUCUUUUUGUGGCAAUUUUGUGUGUGUGUGUGUGUGUGUGUGUGUGUGUGUGUGUGUGAGAGAGAGAGAGAGA